AAAUCUCAACGCAGGACUCUCGGUGGAAUGCGGAGGAUCUACGCUAUUUCCGUAGUGACCCGGAUGACGCAUGAGGAACACUUCCGCUGAUUGCGGUGCAGUGUAGAGGGAAGCGGCGGAGAAUGCGCGGCUCAUUGUUAUGAUCUCGGAGAUCGCUGUGUGAUCUCCGGAGAUCAGAGAACAUGACUCGUGUAUAUUGGGCUUAGUAUGUCAACAUCGGGUUAGAUGGCCGGGCAGCCCUUUGCGCUCCCUGAUCAUCACGGAGCAGAACUUCUCCAUCUCCACCGUACAUAGAGAUCAUUUCUCUGUCCAUAUCACCGUACGCUGGCCUUGUCAUAACAUGGCCACUGACCCGAGUCUGCACAUCGCCAGUCCCUCCUCUCAUAAACUCUCCGAUUGGCUACCUCCGGAGCUGAAGGAUCAUUUACUGCAUGCAGAUUAACCAAUCAGGCCACUGGGAGCACUAGAAGUGUCAUCUCCUGUCCGAGCUGUAUGUGAAAUGUUUUUUGGAAAGGAUACAGAAGCAUUGCUGAUACACUGUUCAGAUUCGCUUGAAUUUGCUGCACGUUCUACUUCAACACACCUGGUAAGGAGCUUUCCCACUCUACAUCAGGAGCUGAGACAGGACAAAGUGUACAGCAGUGAUGAUCGCACGGCUCCCCUAUGCUUGUGGACAUGAUGCUAAUUGAUCCUGCAGAUGUCUGCUGCAGCAUUUUGAAGGUCAAGCAAGAUCCGAUAAUACCGUAAGUUGCUGAGCAUGGAUAACCACAGAAAAGCAUGUUUCUGAAUUCUGUAAAUGCGAAAAAAAGGGAAGAAAGACUGGGACUGGCCUUUCUACAGAGGAGUCUAUUAGACCAUAAUGAAACCGUGCUGCUCCCAGACUUCUCGUGGAGCAUUGUUGUCUUUGUAUUAGUGGUACAAAGCGAGUGGGACAGAAAUGCUGCCUGUCGUGCCAACUGACUGACAAUAAUUUGCAUCAUAGGUCACUAGCAAUGAUAAAAGAACAAGAUAAAGUGUUCUUGAAUGGAUAAUGGAACCCAUUUCAUGUAAACCUGUACACAUCCUCAUAAAUUAGUAUGUAUUGGAAGAAUGUUAAGGUCUGAUGGAAAUAAUACCGUUACAGUAUGAACAACUCAGUGCUGUGACGUUACCUCACUGGUCCGGUAAUAUGCUUCUCAUCAAGAAAAGUGCCAGGAAAUGUGAUCUUCUGAAUGACUAUGCCAACAGAUUUGACGAGCAUGAAAUCCAUUUACUUUGCGGCAUGCUCUGCACUAUUAAUUUGAUUCCAGUACUAUAUAAACACUUGGCCAUGGAGAGGAUAUCUAGUGGUAAUACAUACUGACCUAAUGAGGAGUAAUAAUCUUUGACUUGUUUUGUAUUUUCAUAACCCCGCAUCUUGUAUUUUUUUUUUUUUUUUUUUAGGGGGUGAUUCAUGUUACAGAAAGGGUUAAACCUAUAGGGUGCAGGAAUUGCCACAAAAUAUUGUGCAACUCAAUAUGGCAGCAACAGUUGGGUAGAUAAGUGUCACUGAAGGACCAUUGUCAACAUGGCAGGAUGGAUUUGAUUUACGAACACUGGUUUGUGAUAUGCGACUACAGAAUCUUGGGGACAAAGUUGAAUUUCCAGGUAUUUCUUACACACAGGAUUCUGAUUUAUUUUUCGUUGGUCGAAUAUUAAAUAUGUCAAGAUGCUGUG